CGAUUCUGGCUCAGAACGAACGCUGGCGGCGCGUCUUAAGCAUGCAAGUCGAACGGCAAGAGGUAGCAAUACCUCCUAGAGUGGCGGACUGGUGAGUAACACGUGGGUGACAUACCCUUCAGAUGGGGAUAGCUAUUAGAAAUAGUAGAUAAUACCGAAUACGAGCACAGGGGUUAGAGAUCUGUGAGGAAAGGAGCUAAGGCUCCGCUGAAGGAAUGGCCUGCGGCCCAUUAGCUAGUUGGUGAGGUAAGAGCCCACCAAGGCGAUGAUGGGUAUCCGGCCUUAGAGGGUGAACGGACACAUUGGGACUGAGAUACGGCCCAGACUCCUACGGGAGGCAGCAGCUAAGAAUAUUCCGCAAUGGACGAAAGUCUGACGGAGCGACGCCGCGUGGAUGAAGAAGGCCGGAAGGUUGUAAAAUCCUUUUGAAACUGAAGAAUAAGCGUUGUAGGGAAUGACAGCGUGGUGACAGUAGGUUUUGAAUAAGCAACGGCUAAUUACGUGCCAGCAGCCGC
rnacentral:rRNA from 1 species